rnacentral:rRNA from 1 species
GACGAACGCUGGCGGCGUGCUUAACACAUGCAAGUCGAGCGGUAAGGCCCUUUCGGGGGUACACGAGCGGCGAACGGGUGAGUAACACGGGGGUGACCUGCCCUCAGCUCUGGAUAAGCCUGGGAAACUGGGUCUAAUACUGGAUAUGACUCCACGGUGCAUGUCGUGGGGUGGAAAGCCUUGUGCGGCUGAGGAUGGGCCCGCGGCCUAUCAGCUUGUUGGUGGGGUGAUGGCCUACCAAGGCGACGACGGGGUAGCCGGCCUGAGAGGGCGACCGGCCACACUGGGACUGAGACACGGCCCAGACUCCUACGGGAGGCAGCAGUGGGGAAUCUUGCGCAAUGGGCGAAAGCCUGACGCGAGCGACGCCGCGUGGAGGGA